UGUUUGGUCAGGCACUGGCCCAAGAUCUAGGCCACUUCUCAAGUCCAGGCACUCUGGUCCUUCAGCAUGUGGAUGAUUUACUUUGGGCUACCAGUUCGGAAGCCUCAUGUCAGCGGGCUACUCUAGAUCUCCUGAACUUUCUAGCUGAUCAAGGGAACAAGGCAUCUAAAAAAAAAAAAACCAUGGGGACGGUAAAAAGAUCAACAGUUGCCAGGGGUUGAGGUGAGGGAAGGAUGACUAGGCGGAGUAAAGAGGAAUUCAGGGCAGUGAAACUACUCUGCAUGAUAUUAUACAGUGGCUACAUGUCAUUAUACACUUGUGAAAACCCACAGAACAUACAACACACAGUGAACCCUAACGGAAACUGUGAACUUUAGUUAAUAAUAAAGUAUCAGUAUCAGCUUAUCAAUUGUAACAGGUGCAUCAUACUAAUGUAGGGUGUUAAUAAUGGGGGAAAGUGGGUGGGCUGAAAGAAGCAAAAAAAAGGUUAAUAAUAAAAGGCCAAGUCCUUCGAAUGGCCAAGCAGGUACUACACAAUCGCUCCCUUGUUCCCUCCUUGACCUCAUCAGCCAGCUACCACCCUCCCCACUCUCACUGGCCUCUGCUGUUCUGGAACUCGCCAGGCAGGCUUCUACCCCAGGACCUCGCACUAGCUGUUCCCUCUGCCUGCAACACCAUCCUCCCAGAUCUUCACAUCACUCCUUUCUUCGCUCCCAUUCAUCAAGUCUCUGUUCACGUCACUUCUCAGUAACACCUCCCCGAUGACCUGAUGUAAACCUGCACCACCGCCCUAGGUGCUGGCACUUCCCACCCGCCACCUGCUGUUUUCCUCCAUGACACAUAUCACUGGUAAAUGAAAUGUCUCAUUGAUUUCUGCUUCUGCAGGAGCUUCUGCAGUUUCCCCCAGGGCAGUUUCCCCCAGGCCCUACCCUGGGUGCCUUUGGGGUCUGUCCACUGAAGGGCAGAGCUGCUUCCAGAUGUCCCGAGAAGUGAGACACCUGCAGUGGCUCCAGGCACUCCUGAGGGCUCCCACUCUGCCCCUGUGGCCGGUGACCUGAGCCACCCCCUCCAGUCCUCACCUUUGUCC
rnacentral:lncRNA from 1 species